rnacentral:rRNA from 1 species
UACGUAGGGUGCGAGCGUUAAUCGGAAUUACUGGGCGUAAAGCGUGCGCAGGCGGUCUGUUAAGACCGAUGUGAAAUCCCCGGGCUUAACCUGGGAACUGCGUUUGAAACUACAAGGCUAGAGUGUGGCAGAGGGGGGGUGGAAUUCCGACGUGUAGCAGUGGAAAUGCGUAGAGAUGUGGAGGAACACCGGAUGGCGCAAGGCAGCC